ACGUGAGCUGGGUUUAAAACGUCGUGAGACAGUUUGGUCCCUAUCUGCCGUGGGCGUUGGAUAUUUGAAGGGGGCUGCUCCUAGUACGAGAGGACCGGAGUGGACGAACCUCUGGUGUACCGGUUGUCACGCCAGUGGCAUCGCCGGGUAGCUAUGUUCGGAAGAGAUAACCGCUGAAAGCAUCUAAGCGGGAAACUCGCCUUAAGAUGAGAUAUCCCUGGGGACUAGAUCCCCUUGAAGGGUCGUUCGAGACCAGGACGUUGAUAGGUCAGGUGUGUAAGCGCAGUAAUGCGUUCAGCUAACUGAUACUAAUUGCCCGUAAGGCUUGAUCCUAUAACA
rnacentral:rRNA from 1 species